rnacentral:other from 1 species
UUCACCCUGCGGAGUGCGUGAUGGUUUCAACUAAAUUUGAACCAACACUUAUUUGAUAGGGAGUCCGAUUUCGACGUGGUGUGUGGGCCUCACCCCCUUGCGGGGGUUCCAAGGUCCCCUAAAGCGUCGAUAGGAUGCCCACCUGGGUAACAGGUUCAAAUAGGUGAGCCACACGCCUACCGCGGGCCCCAG